rnacentral:rRNA from 1 species
CAGCAGCCACGGUAAUACAGAGGGUGCAAGCGUUAAUCGGAAUUACUGGGCGUAAAGCGCGCGUAGGUGGUUUGUUAAGUCGGAUGUGAAAUCCCUGAGCUUAACUUAGGAAUUGCAUUCGAUACUGGGAAGCUAGAGUAUGGGAGAGGAUGGUAGAAUUCCAGGUGUAGCGGUGAAAUGCGUAGAGAUCUGGAGGAAUACCGAUGGCGAAGGCAGCCAUCUGGCCUAAUACUGACGCUGAGGUACGAAAGCAUGGGGAGCAAACAGGAUUAGAUACCCCGUGUAGUCCCUGUCUCUUAUA